rnacentral:sRNA from 1 species
GUUUUUGUUUUUCGUUUCAAAAUCUAAACAUGAACUCGAACGAAAUAUUCUAGCCUUAUAAUACCCUAAAAAAGUACAAAAAUUGGGGGGUAUCCUGUAAGGAAAGCAGAAAAAGAAAAACCCAGAAACAAAGCCAAAAAGCAAAAUGACAAAAAAGAAGACGCAUUUGAUUUAUUUGAUUUGAAUUCCAUAACACAUUUUUCACAAUUCCAUAGUUCAAUAUGUUUAAUUAAACGCAACAGUUGCGCAGCUACAGUCCGAAGUCCAAACCUUCCAACACUUUCCAACACACUUUUCCAACACACUCUGAAGCAAAGGAAUCAUCAACACGAACACAUGAACGGAACAACGAACAAAGAACAACGAGCAACGGAACAUUGAGCCAAAGAACAACGAAGAACGAACCACAUUUCCACGAAUCCCAAAUACCUCGAUCACAACUACUUCGAACCACGAACCAGUUCCACGUUCCAUUCCCAUGCAUUCCCGUUGCAGCGGAUGUUCCAAUGAACCAGUUAAAAAGACGUUACUCGGCCAUUGCGAUUUCAAGCCUACGGUACCGC